ACGGGUGAGUAAUGCAUCGGGACCUACCCAGACGUGGGGGAUAACGUAGGGAAACUUACGCUAAUACCGCAUACGUCCUACGGGAGAAAGCGGGGGACCUUCGGGCCUCGCGCGGUUGGACGGACCGAUGUGCGAUUAGCUAGUUGGUAGGGUAAUGGCCUACCAAGGCGACGAUCGCUAGCUGGUCUGAGAGGAUGAUCAGCCACACUGGGACUGAGACACGGCCCAGACUCCUACGGGAGGCAGCAGUGGGGAAUAUUGGACAAUGGGCGCAAGCCUGAUCCAGCAAUGCCGCGUGUGUGAAGAAGGCCUUCGGGUUGUAAAGCACUUUUAUCAGGAACGAAAUACCACGGGUUAAUAACCUAUGGGGCUGACGGUACCUGAGGAAUAAGCACCGGCUAACUUCGUGCCAGCAGCCGCGGUAAUACGAAGGGUGCAAGCGUUAAUCGGAAUUACUGGGCGUAAAGGGUGCGUAGGCGGUUGUUUAAGUCUGUCGUGAAAUCCCCGGGCUCAACCUGGGAAUGGCGAUGGAUACUGGACAGCUAGAGUGUGUCAGAGGAUGGUGGAAUUCCCGGUGUA
rnacentral:rRNA from 1 species